rnacentral:rRNA from 2 species
UGGGGAAUAUUGCGCAAUGGGGGAAACCCUGACGCAGCAACGCCGCGUGAAGGAUGAAGGCUUUCGGGUUGUAAACUUCUUUGAUCGGGGACGAAGAUGACGGUACCCGGGGAACAAGCCACGGCUAACUACGUGCCAGCAGCCGCGGUAAUACGUAGGUGGCAAGCGUUGUCCGGAAUUACUGGGUGUAAAGGGCGUGUAGGCGGGGCGACAAGUCAGAUGUGAAAUACCGUGGCUUAACUGCGGGGGUGCAUCUGAAACUGCUGCUCUUGAGUGUCGGAGAGGAAAGUGGAAUUCCUAGUGUAGCGGUGAAAUGCGUAGAUAUUAGGAGGAACACCAGUGGCGAAGGCGGCUUUCUGGCCUGUAACUGACGCUGAGACGCGAAAGCGUGGGUAGCAAAUAGG